GUGCAGACCAGACAAUAUAAUGUGCCAUAAAAAUCUUUUUUUUUUUCUCUGAAGUAGUCACUGAACCGUGAAAACAAGGUCAAGGACAAUGGACAUGUGACAGACAGAAACUUCGUAACAUAAGGCGUCUAUAUACAAAGUAUGAAGCAUCCAGGUCUUCUAAAAUAUAAAGCUUUUAAAAAUUUAGCUCACACCGCUGCCACCGGAUCACUAACCCUAUGUCGAGCUUUUUGGGACAAAAGUUGCAGACUGGACAAAAAUGAGUAUACACACGUCUAAGAAUGGCAGGGCUCAAAUAAAACUGCAAGCGUUGUAAUGCUAAGCACACGCAUCUCAAUUUUAUAGCAAACGAAUAAAAAAGUCCAUGCAUUUUAUUUCAGCACUGAUUAUAUUCUAUUGUUUUGUUGUUCAAUUAAAGUUUGUUGAGCAAACCAUAUUCUUGAGUCUGUUUUUGUUUUGUUUUGCACAACAUAUUCCCGAGUCUGUUUCUUUUGGAUCUUUAUAUGUCUCUUCCCUUGCACAGCUUGUUCCCGAGUCCAUUAGUGUUUGUAGUCUAUAUUCUAUCACAGCAAAUUAAAUUCCAGAGUUGUAUUUUAUGACGGAGUCUCUUUCUUUUAAAAAUUUUGUUCUGUGUGAUGAUGUCCAUCCUUCAUUUUCACCUUUCCCCAAAAAAAAUCCUGAAUUGGAAGCAUCAAACAAUACAUACAAAUGGAAUGAUAAAUUCUAUCACAAGGUUCUUAAAUAUAGAAAGGAGAAAGUUUUUCUUUUUCACAAUAUUUAUUCUUCAUAAUCAGGUUUAUAAUUGACAGUUUUAAGUAUGUCUUGCUGCUUAUUGCAGAAAUGUUCUUGAUUUUUAUACCAUUUGGUGUCCAACAUUGAACAAUUACAAUGCAAGGCAUGUGGCAAAUAUUGUUAAAAGAAUACAAAAUGUUUCAAAUGGUAAAACUUUACCAUUCUGUGGUUCUUGGAUAACAAAAAAAAAGAGUUAAACCUGACAGCAGACAGAAAGAUCAAGAUAUUAUUUCAGCCCUAUUAGCAGAUCUCAUUUGAUGAUGGUAUAAUAUUGUAUAAAUUAAUCCUGAAAAUAUAAAUCCCAAAAAUAGGUCUCCUUUGAAAUAAAUAUUUUCAGCAAUGCAUUUCCCCCAUUUUUAUCAGUAUGAUUGUGUGAUGCACACAUUUGUAUAUAAUUAGUAUGUCUUCAAUUGAUGAGUUAUUAAUGAAAUCAAAUGUCUGAGCAACGAGACUGUUAGGGGUCACUAUAAAAUAUAUAAACACUGCUAGAAAUAAGGGAAAUAACUGUCAUCUGAAUUCUUUAACAAAAAAAUUUGCAUACAAGGAUACGGUGGUCUCUUAACAAUGCAUUUGUGUAGUGUUUUUAUACUAAUGCUUACUUACCUAAACAUCAAAUAAAUUUCUUCCCAUAAAGAUUUCAUCCAAUCAUGGAUCUUUUAACCUUAUUUGUAUUUUGGAAUUUAUACUCAGUCUGUUGUAAAGUUUCAUUUCUUUUUCAAUAUAUUCUAAAUUUCUGCACAUAAAUGUUGCUGUACAUUAUUGCUGUUUACAGUUUAUCUCUAUCUAUAAUAAAAUUCAAGAUAACCAAAAACUGCAAAAUUUCCUUAAAAUUACCAAUCUCAAGGAAGCAACCUAACAACGGGCUACCGGAAUGGUCCGAAAAUGUUCAGGGCAGAUAGAUCUUUUUCUAAUGAAUAAUUCUAUCCUGUCAGAUUUGAUCUAAAUGCUUCGGUUUCAGAGAUAUGAGCCAAAAGCUGCACUUUACCCUCUGUACUAUUUUUAUACCUAAGGGCAGCUAUCUUGGUUCGCGGGCGGGGUCAUCGGACACAUUCCUUAAACUAAAUACCCUAAUGAUGAUUGUGGACAGCUUGGUUAAAUUUUUGUCAUUGUAGUUUCAGAGGAGUGGAUUUUAGUAAGAUUACAAAAAUUUACGAAAAAUUGUUAUAAAUUGACUAUAGAGGUCAAUAACUCCUUAAGGGGUCAACUGACCAUUUUGUUAAUGUUGACUUAUUUGUAUAUCUUACUUUGCUGAACAUUA
rnacentral:lncRNA from 1 species